rnacentral:tRNA from 1 species
GCGAGAAUAGCUCAGUUGGUAGAGCACAACCUUGCCAAGGUUGGGGUCGCGGGUUCGAAUCCCGUUUCUCGCUC